rnacentral:rRNA from 1 species
AGUUUGAUCCUGGCUCAGANUGAACGCUGGCGGCAGGCCUAACACAUGCAAGUCGAGCGGUAACACAAGGGAGCUUGCUCCUGAGGUGACGAGCGGCGGACGGGUGAGUAAUGCCUAGGGAUCUGCCCAGUCGAGGGGGAUAACAGUUGGAAACGACUGCUAAUACCGCAUACGCCCUACGGGGGAAAGGAGGGGACCUUCGGGCCUUUCGCGAUUGGAUGAACCUAGGUGGGAUUAGCUAGUUGGUGAGGUAAUGGCUCACCAAGGCGACGAUCCCUAGCUGUUCUGAGAGGAUGAUCAGCCACACUGGGACUGAGACACGGCCCAGACUCCUACGGGAGGCAGCAGUGGGGAAUAUUGCACAAUGGGCGAAAGCCUGAUGCAGCCAUGCCGCGUGUGUGAAGAAGGCCUUCGGGUUGUAAAGCACUUUCAGUAGGGAGGAAAGGGUAUUGCUUAAUACGUAAUAUCUGUGACGUUACCUACAGAAGAAGGACCGGCUAACUCCGUGCCAGCAGCCGCGGUAAUACGGAGGGUCCGAGCGUUAAUCGGAAUUACUGGGCGUAAAGCGUGCGCAGGCGGUUUGUUAAGCCAGAUGUGAAAUCCCCGGGCUCAACCUGGGAAUUGCAUUUGGAACUGGCGAACUAGAGUCUUGUAGAGGGGGGUAGAAUUCCAGGUGUAGCGGUGAAAUGCGUAGAGAUCUGGAGGAAUACCGGUGGCGAAGGCGGCCCCCUGGACAAAGACUGACGCUCAUGCACGAAAGCGUGGGGAGCAAACAGGAUUAGAUACC